AACGAACGCUGGCGGCAGGCCUAACACAUGCAAGUCGAACGCCCCGCAAGGGGAGUGGCAGACGGGUGAGUAACACGUGGGAACCUUCCCUAUACUACGGAAUAGCCCAGGGAAACUUGGAGUAAUACCGUAUACGCCAGAGAGGGGAAAGAUUUAUCGGUAUAGGAUGGGCCCGCGUAGGAUUAGCUAGUUGGUGAGGUAAUGGCUCACCAAGGCGACGAUCCUUAGCUGGUCUGAGAGGACGACCAGCCACACUGGGACUGAGACACGGCCCAGACUCCUACGGGAGGCAGCAGUGGGGAAUAUUGGACAAUGGGCGCAAGCCUGAUCCAGCCAUGCCGCGUGAGUGAUGAAGGCCUUAGGGUUAUAAAGCUCUUUUGCCGGGGACGAUAAUGACGGUACCCGGAGAAUAAGUCCCGGCUAACUUCGUGCCAGCCGCCGCAGUAAAAC
rnacentral:rRNA from 1 species